rnacentral:RNase_P_RNA from 1 species
GUUCGUGCGCGGGCGUCCGCUCGGAACGCGAGUUUCGAGAGGAAAGUCCGGACACCACAGGGCGGGAUUCCGCGUGAAAGCGCGGGCGCCGUUCGUCAAGGGACGGUGACGGAAAGUGUCACAGAAAACAUACCGCCGGCGGGUCGCGAGAUUCGCCGGCAAGGGUGAAAAGGUGGUGUAAGAGACCACCGCGCCGGCGGUGACGCCGGUGGCAGGACAAACCCAAUCCGGUGCAAGGCAAAAUAGGGAGGCGGGCUGCCCGUCCAAUGCCUCCGGGUAGUGUCGCGCCGCCGGCAACGGCGGAACGGCGGAAGCGGGGAAACCCGCCGGCGCCGUUAGAAGAAUGGACGCCACCGGCGCCGGAAACGGCGUCAGGAACAGAAUCCGGCUUACAGCGCGCGAACCAGU